UCUACGAUGAAUUGUAUGAAGUUCAGUGUUUUGGGCUGUGAGCACCUUCAGGUCUUCUGAAUCUGUGUUUUUGUCCAUCAUGAUGCUGUUGCUGACCAUCCAGUUCCUCUUUGCCGGGUUGGUUCUCAUCAGCGACGUCAGUCCGACGCCUGAAGAUUGUCAACACCUGGUCAAACCCCUGUCUCUAAAGGACU